ACAAACCAAAAGAACUGAAUAGUUGGCAGCAGUGCUUUGCCAGUUAGUUUCCGGAAGAAAAGUGAACGACGCGGAAGUAAAAAGUGCGCUAGCUGUCGGAAAACGCCGUCGCCUUUUCCUGAAAUUCGGGAACGCAAGAAAACAGCAGGAACCGACAGGCUCGCUCCACCGUUUGGCCGCUACCACAAACUCUUCCGGGUAGGACGACUGCCGAAACGGCAAAGAGGCUUUGGGCCACAAACAAGUCCGAAUUGCCUAUUCGUAAAGUCGCCAGCAGUACCUCCUCUGCUCUACAGGCACUUGGAAAAGCACGAGGUUGAAUCGAAGGACAAACUUCUAAGCAAGCCCGGAGAG